rnacentral:rRNA from 1 species
AGUCGAGAAUCUUCCGCAAUGGGCGCAAGCCUGACGGAGCGACGCCGCGUGUGGGAUGAAGGCCUUCGGGUUGUAAACCACUGUCGUAGAGGAGGAAUGGCCAUAAGGUACUCCUUAUGGUUUGACCUAUUCUAGGAGGAAGGAUGGGCUAAGUCCGUGCCAGCAGCCGCGGUAAGACGGACCAUCCAAACGUUAUUCGGAAUUACUGGGCUUAAAGGGUGCGUAGGCGGCGCGGAAAGUUCGGUGUGAAAUCCCUCGGCUUAACCGAGGAAUGGCGCUGAAAACUACCGUGCUCGAGGAAGACAGAGGUAAGCGGAACAGCGGGUGGAGCGGUGAAAUGCGUUGAUAUCCGCUGGAACACCGGUGGCGAAAGCGGCUUACUGGGUCUUUUCUGACGCUGAGGCACGAAAGCUAGGGUAGCGAA